AGAGUUUGAUCCUGGCUCAGAUUGAACGCUGGCGGUAUGCUUAACACAUGCAAGUCGAACGAGAAAGUUCCUUCGGGAGCGAGUAAAGUGGCGGACGGGUGAGUAACGCGUAGGAAUCUGCCCUAAAGUGGGGGACAACCCGAGGAAACUCGGGCUAAUACCGCAUAAGCUCCAUGUUUACAUGGAGAAAGCAGGGGACCUCUUCGGAGGCCUUGUGCUUUAGGAUGAGCCUGCGUCGGAUUAGCUUGUUGGUGGGGUAAUGGCCUACCAAGGCAACGAUCCGUAGCUGGUCUGAGAGGAUGAUCAGCCACAUUGGGACUGAGACACGGCCCAAACUCCUACGGGAGGCAGCAGUGGGGAAUAUUGGACAAUGGGCGCAAGCCUGAUCCAGCAAUACCGCGUGUGUGAAGAAGGCCUGCGGGUUGUAAAGCACUUUCAGUAGGGAGAAAAUGCUCAAGAUUAAUACUCUUGAGAGUUGAUGUUACCUACAGAAGAAGCACCGGCUAACUCUGUGCCAGCAGCCGCGGUAAUACAGAGGGUGCAAGCGUUAAUCGGAGUUACUGGGCGUAAAGCGUACGUAGGCGGAUAUUCAAGUCGGUUGUGAAAGCCCUGGGCUUAACCUAGGAAUUGCAUUCGAUACUGGGUAUCUGGAGUAUGGUAGAGGAAAGUGGAAUUUCCGGUGUAGCGGUGAAAUGCGUAGAUAUCGGAAAGAACAUCAGUGGCGAAGGCGACUUUCKGGACCAAUACUGACGCUAAGGUACGAAAGCGUGGGGAGCAAACAGGAUUAGAGACCCUGGUAGUCCACGCUGUAAACGAUGAGAACUAGACGUUAGGUCUGCUUUGCGGAUUUAGUGUCGAAGCUAACGCGUUAAGUUCUCCGCCUGGGGAGUACGAUCGCAAGAUUAAAACUCAAAGGAAUUGACGGGGACCCGCACAAGCGGUGGAGCAUGUGGUUCAAUUCGAUGCAACGCGAAGAACCUUACCUACCCUUGACAUCCCAGGAACUUUCUAGAGAUAGAUUGGUGCCUUCGGGAACCUGGUGACAGGUGCUGCAUGGCUGUCGUCAGCUCGUGUCGUGAGAUGUUGGGUUAAGUCCCGUAACGAGCGCAACCCUUGUCCUUAGUUGCCAGCAUGUUAUGAUGGGCACUCUAAGGAGACUGCCGGUGAUAAACCGGAGGAAGGUGGGGAUGACGUCAAGUCCUCAUGGCCCUUACGGGUAGGGCUACACACGUGCUACAAUGGGAAGUACAGAGGGUUGCCAAGCCGCGAGGUGGAGCUAAUCUCAAUAAAACUUCUCGUAGUCCGGAUUGAAGUCUGCAACUCGACUUCAUGAAGUCGGAAUCGCUAGUAAUCGCGAAUCAGAAUGUCGCGGUGAAUACGUUCUCGGGUCUUGUACACACCGCCCGUCACACCAUGGGAGUAGAUUGUACCAGAAGCAGGUUGCCUAACCUUCGGGAAGGCGCUUACCACGGUAUGAUUUAUGACUGGGGUGAAGUCGUAACAAGGUA
rnacentral:rRNA from 1 species